CCGGGAUUGCCCUAGUAACGGCGAGUGAAGCGGCAAGAGCUCAAAUUUGAAAGCUGGCCCCCUCGGGGUCCGCAUUGUAAUUUGCAGAGGAUGCUUCGGGAACGGCCCCCAUCUAAGUGCCCUGGAACGGGCCGUCAUAGAGGGUGAGAAUCCCGUCUGGGAUGGGGUGGCCGCGCCCGUGUGAAGCUCCUUCGACGAGUCGAGUUGUUUGGGAAUGCAGCUCUAAUUGGGUGGUAAAUUUCAUCUAAAGCUAAAUAUUGGCCGGAGACCGAUAGCGCACAAGUAGAGUGAUCGAAAGAUGAAAAGCACUUUGAAAAGAGAGUUAAACAGCACGUGAAAUUGUUGAAAGGGAAGCGCUUGCGACCAGACUCGCCCGCGGGGUUCAGCCGGCACUCGUGCCGGUGUACUUCCCCGCGGGCGGGCCAGCGUCGGUUUGGGCGGCCGGUCAAAGGCCUCUGGAAGGUAACGCCUCUCGGGGCGUCUUAUAGCCAGGGGUGCCAUGCGGCCUGCCCGGACCGAGGAACGCGCUUCGGCUCGGACGCUGGCAUAAUGGUCGUAAGCGACCCGUCUUGAAACACGGACCAAGGAGUCUAACAUCUACGCGAGUGUUCGGGUGUCAAACCCGUGCGCGCAGUGAAAGCGAACGGAGGUGGGAACCCCCCGGGGUGCACCAUCGACCGAUCCUGAUGUCUUCGGAUGGAUUUGAGUAAGAGCGUAGCUGUUGGGACCCGAAAGAUGGUGAACUAUGCCUGAAUAGGGCGAAGCCAGAGGAAACUCUGGUGGAGGCUCGCAGCGGUUCUGACGUGCAAAUCGAUCGUCAAAUUUGGGUAUAGGGGCGAAAGACUAAUCGAACCAUCUAGUAGCUGGUCUGCGAUUU
rnacentral:rRNA from 1 species